AAUUCACUUCAGUACCCAAGGCAGCAGAGCAGUAGUUUUGACAAGAUGCUUCAGAACACCCUCCCAAGAGCUGGCUCCUUGCAUUUUGAAAAGGACCUGCAGGAACUCAGGGUCCUGAAAAAAUACGAGUUGGACUGUGGAUAUUUCCCCUCCUAAYUCCCUCCUGCCACUUCAGCCUGCUCUACAAGGAGUUCAUGAACCUUCCCAGCAUCAUCCUCCUCUGGAUCAUCAGGGCUUGAUGCAAUCAGCUGUGAAGCAUUAGCUCUAAAUAGACAACCGAGAGGCCAGUUCUGCUUCAGCACGCAARCGCUCAUCAUAAAGAAGAAAAAAUUACCCAGCAGAGAGCACAAUUUGCAAGAGAAACUUGAAGAAAUUAUUACUUAAAUGAGCUGCAGAGGAAGCAAGAGUAAGUGGGGGCUAAGCAGUGUUUUACCUUUGGAGAGGACUAAAGAUAUAGCAGGAGACUAAGCAAACAGGCCCAUGCAUGGCCACUGUGUGCACCGGGUUUUGUCCUCAUUUGUGAAGUUGGAUGCAAAAGCUCAUUCUGCUUUAUUUACUUGUUUAGGUGGUUUCUGGCAACUCAGCCUGUGUUUCUGGUACAAAUCCUCAGCGUACAGGGCCAAGAGACACAAAAUUGAACUUUACAAGGAAAAUAAACAGGAAAUGCUCCAGAAAUAUGGGAAGGGCUCCACUGCUCUGUCCCCGAAAUCCAAACGGCUGUUUCUUGCAAGGGACACAUCAAGGUAGGAUAACAACACYGAUGUCGGUUGUUAGCCCUCAUUUCUGUGAGGGACGCCAAUAACUUCCUCUAAUAUAUGACCAUGGCAUUUUCCUAAUCUUCAGAGUUUCUAGAUGCUUUUAGGGCGUGAGCUUGGUAUGAAAUGAAUCCAUGUUU